AGCUGGGGACAGAUGUGCAGGUUAGCGUAGGCGAAAGGUCAUCUCAGUCACCGAGCUGCAGCAGUCCUGAGAGACAAGGAGAACGUUCCUAACUCAUGAACGAAGCAACUAAACGGCCCGAGAGGAGAUGCGGCUGGCUCCAGGGUAACAGUGGGCGAAGAAAUGAACCAUUCUAAUGAUGAUGAUGAUGAUGAUGAUGAUGAUGAUGAUGAUGAUGCUUGUUUUUCAUUAUAUAAUAAGAUAGCAGAAAAAAUAUAAAAUCGGACUCGGGGCACCGGGAAGUAGCAAUGGGCUGGUUGAGUCACAAAUCCCUCAACCAGAGCCUCGCAGAGAUUGAUGCCAAUAUUAUGGGAGCCGAUCGCAUCGUGGGAUGGAGAGGAGAACGUGAAACAGGUGCAGAGCGGCAUGAUGGAUUCUGGGAAAGAUGCAGUCAGCCACGAUCCUGUUCAUGGCCGACAAGUAGAAGUGCAGCAAAGGCACGGGAGUGCCACGGGCUAUACCUUCUGCCCAGCCUGGUCGGGGGAAGAUUUUAAAAAAAAUAAAAGAAAAUCCUCUGCUACAGAGCCCCAGCUUGGUGGAUAAAGUCACUUGCUGCCAGCCUGAGACCUGAGUUCAAUCCCUGAGACCCAGAACUGACUUCCGCAAGCUUUCUAAACACACACACACACACACACACACACACACACACACACACACACACACACAAAAAAUAAAUGUAAAUUCUAGAAUCUCCUGUUAUUCAGGAAGCUUCCAUUGUAGUAGGCUUCCGAAACCAAAGAAAGGACACCGGUGUCUGUUUCAUUUCUCCCAGGAUCACCUGAGCGCGUUUUCUUGAUGCCUAGCUUGCCAUGACACAGGAGGAGGGCAUUGAAUCUGGGCUGCUUUCGAGGAGAGCACCAGGCAGCCGGGUCCCCGCAGUCAAAGCAGCACCUGGCGUCCUAGGGCCCACCCAUUCUAGAGAGGAGGACCGGAGUCUUACAAAGCCCACGCCCUGCGCUCGACAUGAGCACUUCUACGUGGUAGUUUCCUAGUGGUCGUGUUCAACACCAGUGAACCAGAAAGAGGGAAGGCUGCAGAUCAAAACAAAGAACUUCUGAGUGCCGGCUGGCGAAGCCGAUUCUUAAAGGUGUCCACCACCGAUAGAAGCUCACACAGGUCAAUCAGAAAUAACUAGUUAAAAGGAAAAGGCAGGUGCUUGCCCUGGGCCGAGCUUAUGAACGCAGACAUCCCAUAAUAGCAAAGCAUUUUCCAGGUCGCCGACCCUCAUCUGUGCCGGCCCCUCAGUGCAUACAGCAGGUGCUUACGAAGAAAUCGCACACUAAUUAUCACAAAUAAUUGGGGUCAGCCUAUAAAAACAAGUGCUUUAGUAAACCAAUGCUCAGGUGGUCAGCCAAACCAGGCAGGGGCCUGGGGCUGGUUUGAAGGUAAGGUAAGGAUCUGUGAGCUUAAACCCGUGAGUCAGUGUUUCUGUCUCCUCCUCUGCAAAGGAAAUUGCCAUUCAAGAGGAGAGAGGCUGGCCUACUGCUGACUUCUACCCAAGGGUAACCAUGUAAAGCCCUGUCCAGGCUUAAGCAAAUCAUCUUGGAACUUCCUCCAAACUGAGGACCCCAGAGGAGGUCAGCCUUCAUACUUGUGAAGUUGCCCUGAGCUUGGUCUAAACUCCUCCACAGUAGCGGCCCUCAGAACUAUCGUUUCCCAUGUAUAACUUGGAAGAUCAUGGACAAGAACACCUGAUGUAUGAUCUCUUUCCGGACUGAAACGUUUUGUUGUUGUUUUGAAGCAGCCUCACUAUGUAGUCCAGGAUAACCUUUAAUGAUAAUACUCAAGCUUACCUCAAAGUCAGCACCCCUCUGCUUUAGCCUCCCAGGGCCCGGGAUUUCAGGUGUGUACCACCACACCUGGCUCUGAAAAUGCUUCUGAGACCCUUUAGCACACUGCUUCACUCUCUAUAAACAUGUUUAAAACAGCAUAUGAACAGGGAGCUGGGGGCAUAGUUCAGUCAACAGAGUUCAUGCCCAGGAGGCCCUAAAUCCUGGGUUCCAUUCCAAGCACCACAUAAAUGGGCUAUGGUGGUGCAUCCUGGGAUACACAGAUCCUGUCUCUAACAAUAAAAUGUAUGCACUAAAAA